rnacentral:lncRNA from 1 species
GCCAUUUAUUUUGUUUUGUCAACGUCAGAAUAAUUGUUUUUUAACAACAUAAUUUAAUAUUUAUUUCAAAUAUUGGCUUGUUACAAUUUCCUUCAGGAGACCAAGCUCCUCCUGAUGUUCCCUGUUACAUUCUACUUAUCACUCAUAUUAAAUAAAUCACUUAUAAUGACUAUUCAUAUGCUUUCAAAUGGUUGCUAUAACAUUACUUUUAAUUGUCAAACAGAUUCUUCUAUUGUACUCAUUGAUAAAACAAUGACAUUGACAUUUACGUCAGUAUAAUUGUUUGUAAACAUUAUAGUUCAAAAAAUAUUACACACUACACUAUGAAACAACUGCUAUCAGUAACUGCUACAUAUCGUACGUACACACCAUUGAUAUUUAAAAUCAGGCCGUCUUACGCUUCAAUGUCGGGGCCAUGCAUCACAAAAACUUUUAUGCAACAACGGCAUAGACUGUAUAGAAAGGCACGAUAUUAUCCAUAAUCAAGAACAAUCAUAAAAGUAUUGUCAAUACAAAAAAAGAAAAAUUCAAAACUAGAAGCCCAACAUAAAUUAACAAACGUCUUUCAUAUAAAUAGCUUGAUUGAACUAUACGAUACGCAAAAACUGU